rnacentral:misc_RNA from 1 species
CAGAGAACAUCGCCCUCACGGGUGACUCUCCAACCCUUUGUUAUUAUACCUUUGUUGCUUUGGCGAGCCGCCUCGGCCACCGGCUCACGCUGGUGAGUGCUCGCCAGAGGACCCCAAACUCUGAAUAUUAGUGUCGUCCGAGUAUUAUAUAAUAGUUA